GAUGAACGCUGGCGGCGUGCUUAACACAUGCAAGUCGAACGGGGAACCCGGAGCUUGCUCUGUGGGAUCAGUGGCGAACGGGUGAGUAACACGUGAGCAACCUGCCCCUGACUCUGGGAUAAGCGCUGGAAACGGCGUCUAAUACUGGAUAUGUGACGUGACCGCAUGGUCUGCGUUUGGAAAGAUUUUUCGGUUGGGGAUGGGCUCGCGGCCUAUCAGCUUGUUGGUGAGGUAAUGGCUCACCAAGGCGUCGACGGGUGGCCGGCCUGAGAGGGUGACCGGCCACACUGGGACUGAGACACGGCCCAGACUCCUACGGGAGGCAGCAGUGGGGAAUAUUGCACAAUGGGCGGAAGCCUGAUGCAGCAACGCCGCGUGAGGGAUGACGGCCUUCGGGUUGUAAACCUCUUUUAGCAGGGAAGAAGCGAAAGUGACGGUACCUGCAGAAAAAGCGCCGGCUAACUACGUG
rnacentral:rRNA from 1 species